UGCUCGUGGGACGGGCCCUUUAGGGAGAGGGAGAGAGAGAGAGAGGGGGCGGCGGCAUUUCUUCUGUAAAUAGUUCUUGUUGCAUUGCCGAACAACAAACUCACCUUGUUUUUUUUACUUUACAUCUCGUAGUGUCCUGACAUUAUUUCCCCCAUCGGUCCGUUGUACUAUAUGUCCAUCGACCUGGCGCCAACAACAUUAAGACGGAAAAGGAAAAAAAAAAAAAGAACAUAUAUGUAUUUUUUAAAGUCGUUCCUGCAUCACUUUCGUUUCCGUUUUUUCAUGUUUCUGUUUUUUGACGUUUGCACUGACCAAUUUUUUUUGUUUUAGGGAUAAGCACAAAAAAACCUUCCCAGCUCCUGAGAAAACGAGGGAAAGCGUGGGAAAUUACGUUGAAUGGGAGAGAGAUUUUAGCUCGCCCGCGUGUGGGCGUGCGUGUGCGUGGACACGAGGCCUGGCGUACUGGCGGGCUCGUGUGCAUGGGUCAUGCAUGUGCUGUGUGUGUGUGUGUGUGUGUGUGUGGGUCUGCAUGUAGGGGGCUAAGGCUUCUGUGCCUCUUUAGGAUGGCAUCUGCAACGCAGUCACCUCUGAGCACCACAGAGGUAUCGAUCGAGGUGUGUCUGGCCCUGUACACAGGAGGCCUCUCCCCUCACCCCUGAGAGAGGGUUCCAAGCCAAGCCCGGCCUGGGCAAGCACGCGAUUGUCGUUCAGCCACAGAAGCCCCCUGCCCCCCCAAAGACCCCCCCCCCUCCCCCCCCCCCCCACCUCAUAAUUAUUUAAAACAGUUUUCUUCUUUUUAAUAGAGAAUAAAAAAGGCAUCCUACUCGCCCGUCCCACCUAACCCUGACCACACACCCCCCACCCCCCCACUUUAAAUCCGUAAAGGAUAUCACCUUGAGUUCUGAAGUGGCAAGCUUCCAAUAUCGCAACCGCUGAACAAGAAGAGGGUCAAAGGAUGCUUGAUGUCAUAUAUAGUCUAAAACAUUAAUCUUAUGGCAAGGUCUGGAGCCUUGUUUACGCUGUUAAUGGUGAAAUAAAGUGUGUGUCAGUAUUAAGGGAAGUUGUCCAUGAGUCUAUAGUAUAUUGAUUAAAACAUUGAUGUUUUUAUGCUA